rnacentral:lncRNA from 1 species
UAGAAGAAUCAACUCAGAAAUAUUGUCAAAAAUGAAAAGAACCAAAAACUACAGGUAGACUCAGUACUGAAACGUAACAAAUUGUGCCACCGUUAAAUCAAGUACUGAAACAUAACAAAUUUAAUUAAAAUUCACGUACAUUUCUUGGUUCGAUUUUGGUUGGUCCAUGUGUCAUUCGCCUUGCCAAUUCCAAAACAAACAGGAUCAGCAGUUCACCACUCUCUGCUAGCUAGAAAGGUAAACCAAAAAACCCAGAUUGAACUGAGGGUGUAGCACCCACUGUGUGUCUUCUACCCUACCAGUAACAGGAAAAUAGCACAAACACUGACACAGUCUACACUACACUUUGCUCGGUUGCUUGUGUCUCUACCUCCUUCACCGCCAGGGGCUCAUACCAGGCAGGCCCAAAUCCAGCCGCUUUCCUAGCUUCCGUAUUGAAAGGGGGCUUCAGUGGUNNNNN